UCGUCCAACACAGUCAGCAUUUUCUUCUACCCUCUCCGAGAACCUCGAAUGGCGUGGCCCCAGCUCCUUGUCCAAAACCCCCAACCGGCGCCACCCCCUAACUCAACGAACCUUAACCUCGAACAGUGCAACCCCUGACUCGACAAACCUUAAGUUUCCAAAUCCUUGUCCACUUUACAAAACCACGGGAAGUUUCCAAAUUCUUCUACGCUUUUCCGACCGAUGACAAGUUUCGAAUUUUCCGACAUUCGGCGCCGUUUUAACUCAGAUUUUGUGCAAGUUUUGCGGCCAACGAUUGAGACAGAGCAAAAUAAAAAAAAAAAGCAAAAUCUUGCAGGUCGAAAGUGAAAUGGUUCUCCUCCGACAGAACUUGUGUGUCUGUCUGACGAAGUGUUUCUUGCCAUCAUUCCAUGUCUGUCGUACACGACGGGGUUUCUUUCUAACAUAAGAGGGCGAUUUUCAAGAGAGCACCUAAACAAUUCGAGGAUACUUGUUUCGGUUAUCUCAUUGACAUGGACCACAUUGACUGGUUUGGACAGCUAAACCACUACGCUAUAUUUAAGGCUAUAAAGGAUAAAGUGACCAACGAUUCCAUAUCCUUUCUUUUUGGGGAAGAUGUUGCAACAUUCAGGAGUCGGGAAUUCUGUUUGAUCAAUGACCUAAAGUUUGGAGAAUUCCCGCUAGAAGCAAGAGGAAUGUCGUAUACGAGAGACAUAUCUCAGAAGAAAGAAGAAGAUAUCCCUAAAACAAUUGGAGGACCAACUCAAUGUCUGCCAAAACCAAGAUAAUAUGUACAAGUUGGGGCUACUGUACUUCGUCCACUUCGUUCUUUUGGGGAAACAGAAGGACUCAAUUAUCUCGUACUAUCUGCUUGACUUGGUAGACAACGAAGAAAAGUGGGAGACCUCUCCUUGGGGUUCGGCGUCGUUCCAUUUGUUGAUGCCAACCAUCAGGAUCGCUGCUUUGACCCGGUACACCUUUAUAAAAGAAAAAGGGGUGACAACCUACCAUGAUUCUUAUAACCUGAGGGGGCUUCCCUAUGUCUUCCAGAUUACGUUGUUCGAAACCUUGUCGUACGUAAAGACAAAAACAACUCGAGGGUGUGGAUUGAGAUUCCUGAGUUGUUGCCCCGGAUUUUCCCACUAGAUAUGAAAUUCUAAAUCCACCAGAGGAUGACAGUAUUCCUACAUGUGAUUUAGGAUUGCUUGCCAAAAUAUUAAAAUGUCUAAUUAAUUAAUGGUUCUAUACAAAGAAUGAAAAUAUAAGGCAAGAGGGGGUCACCAUGUCGAA